CAGCAGCCGCGGUAAUACGGAGGGUGCGAGCGUUAAUCGGAUUUACUGGGCGUAAAGCGUGCGUAGGCGGCUAAUUGAGUCGGAUGUGAAAUCCCCGAGCUUAACUUGGGAAUUGCAUUCGAUACUGGUUAGCUAGAGUGUGGGAGAGGAUGGUAGAAUUCCAGGUGUAGCGGUGAAAUGCGUAGAGAUCUGGAGGAAUACCGAUGGCGAAGGCAGCCAUCUGGCCUAACACUGACGCUGAGGUACGAAAGCAUGGGGAGCAAACAGGAUUAGAUACCCCAGUAGUCCCUGUCUCUUAUAC
rnacentral:rRNA from 1 species